rnacentral:rRNA from 1 species
UACGAAGGGUGCAAGCGUUGUUCGGAUUUAUUGGGCGUAAAGCGUGCGCAGGCGGAUUGGCAAGUCAGGUGUGAAAUCUCGAGCUUAACCUCGAAAUUGCGCCUGAAACUGCGAGUCUAGAAUGUUGGAGAGGGAAGGGGAAUAUCUCAUGUAGGGGUAAAAUCCGUAGAUAUGAGAUGGAACACCAGAGGCGAAGGCGCCUUCCUGGACAACUAUUGACGCUGAGGCACGAAAGCGUGGGGAGCAAACAGG